GACGAACGCUGGCGGCGUGCUUAACACAUGCAAGUCGAACGAAGUGGCGAACGGGUGAGUAAUACGUGAGUAACCUGCCCUCCUUUUUGGGAUAAGCCUUGGAAACGGGGUCUAAUACCGAAUAAAGGGGGAUGGGCUCGCGGCCUAUCGGCUUGUUGGUGGGGUGAUGGCCUACCAAGGCGGUGACGGGUAGCCGGCCUGAGAGGGUGACCCGCGACAUGGGGAUAGGGAACCGGCCCAGUGUCAUACGGUAGGUGGGAGGGGGGGAUAUUGCACAAUGAUCGGAAGCCUGAUGGAGCGACGCGGUGUGGGGGAUGAAGGUUUUCGGGUUGUAAACGUUUUUCGGUAUGGAACGGGUAGGUUGAUAAGCAGCGCCGGCUAACUACGUGCCAGCAGCCGCGGUAAUUC
rnacentral:rRNA from 1 species